rnacentral:rRNA from 1 species
GGAGGUAGUGACAAUAAAUCACAAUGCGGAACUUUUAGUUUUGCAAUUGGAUUGAGAACAAUGUACAAAUGUUAUCGAUAAACAAUUGGAGGGCAAGUCUGGUGCCAGCAGCCGCGGUAAUUCCAGCUCCAAUAGCGUAUAUUAACGUUGUUGCAGUUAAAAAGCUCGUAGUUGAAAUGUGGGAUGAAGUAUAUAAUGAAUUUUUAAUUCAAUUCUAUAUUGAUUCCCCUCUCCAAUUUAUUAUUAUGGGUAUUAAUUUAUUUGUAAUAAGAAUUGGUCAUUUACUGUGAGAAAAUUAGAGUGUUCAAAGCAGGCAUUUGCUUGAAUAGAUUAGCAUGGAAUAAUACUAAAAGGCUUUUAUGGUCGAUUUAAUUGGUUUGUUCAUAAAAGCAAGAUUAAAAGGAACAGUUGGGGGUAUUCAUAUUCAAUAGUUAGAGGUGAAAUUCUCGGAUUUAUGGAAGAUGAACAAGUGCGAAAGCA